GUGCUUAACACAUGCAAGUCAAGGAGAAAGUGAUCUUCGGAUUGUGAGUAAACUGGCGAACGGGUGAGUAACGCGUAGACAACCUGGCUUUAGGUUGGGGAUAACUCGCCGAAAGGCGGGCUAAUACCGAAUGGUGCCAUUGAGUCGCCUGAUUCGAUGGUGAAAGUGGGCUUCGGCUCACGCCUUUAGAUGGGUCUGCGUCUGAUUAGCUAGUUGGUGGG
rnacentral:rRNA from 1 species